CAAAUUUAUGUCCAGGACCUCAUGGUGAC
rnacentral:piRNA from 1 species